rnacentral:rRNA from 1 species
GACGAACGCUGGCGGCUUGCUUAACACAUGCAAGUCGAACGCUGAAGCUUGGGGCUUGCACUGGGGGGAUGAGGGGCGAACGGGUGAGUAAUAGGUGGGUAACCUGCCCUGGACCCUGGGUUAGGCCUGGGAAACUGGGUCUAAUACUGGUUACGACUUGUCACCGCAGGGUGGUUUGUGGAAAGGGUUUUACUGGUUUUGGAUGGGCUCACGGCCUAUCAGCUGGUUGGUGGGGUAAUGGCUCACCAAGGCGACGACGGGUAGCCGGCCUGAGAGGGUGACCGGCCACACUGGGACUGAGACACGGCCCAGACUCCUACGGGAGGCAGCAGUGGGGAAUAUUGCACAAUGGGCGGAAGCCUGAUGCAGCGACGCCGCGUGAGGGAUGACGGCCUUCGGGUUGUAAACCUCUUUCAGCACGGAAGAAGCGAAAGUGACGGUACGUGCAGAAGAAGCGCCGGCUAACUACGUG